GACGAACGCUGGCGGCGUGCCUAAUACAUGCAAGUAGAACGCUGAAGGAGGAGCUUGCUUCUCUGGAUGAGUUGCGAACGGGUGAGUAACGCGUAGGUAACCUGCCUGGUAGCGGGGGAUAACUAUUGGAAACGAUAGCUAAUACCGCAUAAUAGUAGAUGUCGCAUGACAUUUGCUUAAAAGUUGCAAUUGCAUCACUACCAGAUGGACCUGCGUUGGAUUAGCUAGUUGGUGAGGUAACGGCUCACCAAGGCAACGAUACAUAGCCGACCUGAGAGGGUGAUCAGCCACACUGGGACUGAGACACGGCCCAGACUCAUACGGGAGGCAGCAGUAGGGAAACGUCGGCAAUGGACGGAAGUCUGACCGAGCAACGCCGCGUGAGUGAAGAAGGAUGUCGGAUCGUAAAGCUCUGUUGUAAGAGAAGAACGAGUGUGAGAGUGGAAAGUUCACACUGUGACGGUAUCUUACCAGAAAGGGACGGCUAACUACGUG
rnacentral:rRNA from 1 species